UACAGAGGGGGCAAGCGUUGUUCGGAAUCACUGGGCUUGAAGGGCGCGUAGGCGGGCCGUCCGGUCAGGGGUGAAAGCCCCCCGCUCAACGGGGGAAGGGCCCCUGAUACCGACGGCCUCGAGGGAGAUAGGGGCGUGCGGAACUUCCGGUGGAGCGGUGAAAUGCGUAGAGAUCGGAAGGAACGCGGGUGGCGAAAGCGGCACGCUGGAUCUCUUCUGACGCUGAGGCGCGAAAGCCAGGGGAGCGAACGGG
rnacentral:rRNA from 1 species